rnacentral:rRNA from 1 species
CCCUACGGGGGGCAGCAGUGGGGAAUAUUGGGCAAUGGAGGCAACUCUGACCCAGCAACGCCGCGUGAAUGAUGAAGGUCUUCGGAUUGUAAAGUUCUUUUCUAAGGGAAGAAGAAAGUGACGGUACCUUAGGAAUAAGCCUCGGCUAACUACGUGCCAGCAGCCGCGGUAAUACGUAGGAGGCAAGCGUUAUCCGGAAUGACUGGGCGUAAAGGGUGCGUAGGUGGUUUGACAAGUUAGUAGCGCAACUCCGGAGCUUAACUUCGGAACUACUACUAAAACUGUUGGACUUGAGUGCAGGAGGG